rnacentral:rRNA from 1 species
AUGAUGGCGACAGACGUAGCUGCAGCUUCAAUCAUGUCCACCAUGAAAAUGCUGUUCAAGAUGGACAGCGUCACUCAUGUGGCCAGCGUGGAGUUGUGGGUGUUGAUGACAACGCUGCUGCUGGUGGUGAGGUUCAUGCUGGACUGCUUUGGGCCGUGGUACGAAGACAGGGCCAUGGCGACCAGCAUUCAGGUGAUAGAGAUGCUCAACUACUCCAUGGUGCACUACACCAUGGGGCUGAUGCAGCUCUCCGCAAAGAAGGUGAAUGACUACUUUCAGGUCUGGGCGGUGCUGCUGGUGACCCUGCAGUACAGCGUCAAGGCUGGACGCCUGUACCAGAGAUCCAAGCAGAUCCCACUGCUCGACCUCAUGUCAUCCUUCUGGGCAGCCAACCUCAUCUGGAUGCAGACCUUCUUCCUCCUCAGGGUCCCUCUCUGGCUGAUAUGGGCCCUCAAUGCGAUUCGGAUCAUCUCCUACUUUGCCUCGUCCGAUAGGGCUGAAACCACCAACCAAGAGAACACGAGGCAGGUUAGCGACUACAUGCGAUACGAGCACACCCUCGGUUCCUCGCACUCGUACAAGUACUUGGUCUCUGGGGAAGACCUGGCGCUUCGUGAUGCUCGACGACAAGACAGGAGGAGUGGACAAUACAGGAUUCGGUUGGAUCCAGAUAAUAAGAAGCUUGUCACCAUAGAGAAGAUAUGGAAUAUUGAUGCUGGCAACAGCCGGUUGCUCGGCGGCACCAAAGACAAUGGCAACCGACUCAAGGAUGUCUGCCUCUCAUUCGCCAUGUACAAGCUGCUGCGCCGUCGGUUCUAUAAUCUCCCGAUACAUGAGGCUAGCCAAGAGAAGACGAGGCGGCUCGUCUUCGACUACAUCCUGCAGGAGAACACCAACAGCUAUGAGAGGGCAUUCCGUGUCACCAAGGUGGAACUGUCCUUCCUCCAAGACUUGUUCUAUAGCAAGCAUGCUGCCAUGUUUGCCAACGGAUUUCCGGUCUGGAGUAUGCUCUUGUCUCUCUCUCUGGUUGCGGCUACCGUAUACCUUGCGUAUCCUGUUCAUUGUAUACCAGAGAGGAUGGAUGCGGCCGACAAAAAUAUCAUCACUCACGGGGUCAUUGUCACUCGUGUCAUGGUCGUCCUUAUCAUUGCCAAGGAGCUGUUGGAGAUCUAUUUAUAUGUAUUCUCGCAAUGGACCAAGGUUCUGAUGAUCUGCAUGUACGUCAAACAUCGGUGCUUGCGGAAUCCAGUGGUGGAGGCAGCAAUGAGAAUGAUGUUCUGGUUCAUGAGGGGCAAGUGGGAUCAAAGGAUCUUCCAGUAUAACCUUCUGAUUUCUGAUUCGCAUACUCAGAGGAAAUUUCCCCGGAGCAUCAAGUUGGAGUCAGAAGUAACGACGGCAAUAUUUGAGUCGUUCAAGGGCCUGCAGCAGCAUCCAAAAAGAUUGGGAACCUACUUCUUAAAUGCCUUCGGUUCAAAGGCACCCGUUAUGCAGCAGCUAACAUGGGCAAUUGAGCUGGAGGCUGAUACCCACAGGAUACUGGUCUGGCACAUCGCGACAUGCUUCUGCGAGAUGCAUUUCUGUGAUGAAGUGAAAAAACUAAAGGUUUGUAAGCUUCAAAACAGGAUCUUGGCCAAGAAAUCCACAACUCCAGAACAUGUGUGGCCACAUUACUUAACUGCUGUCACCUUAUCAAACUAUUGUGCAUACCUGCUUACAAAAGGAUUGGUGCCAGACAACGGCAUUGUUGUUACAAAUAUCUUGGACAUCGUACGCAAGGAAACCUUCCGUGCUACUUACUGCUCAUUCUCCCAGUCAAUGCAAGAUGUUUACAAAGAACUUGUGGAGAUUGCCGCCUUGGAAGAGUCUGAGGUGAUUAGUGGAGAGGUUGAAGCCCCUGAAAGUCGGGAAGAUAACAAUGGAAUUAACAGUUCCACAACAAAUGACCAGGUGCCUAAUAGGGAAGAUACUAUCAAGGGUGAUGAUGACAUCCAUAAUUCGAUAACCCAAAUGGGUGCAAAGCUUGGGAAGCAGUUGAUAGAGACCUACGAAGCAGACACCGUAGGCAUAUGGAGGGAUCUAGCAGUGUUCUGGACAGGCUUCCUCCUUCACUUGGCAGCCUCAACCAGAGCAGCCAAGCACAAGACACGGCUUGUUGGGAAGGUGGAGCUCAUAACACACCUGUGGGCUUUGCUGUCACAUGCUGGGUUUCUUGGAAAUACCAGGCAUGGGCAAACACUCCUCGACCCAGAAGACCUUAGUGAUGUCGACCCGCUCAGAUGA